AAAAAAAAAAAAAAAACGCUUUUAUAGAAAAUCCCACUAAAAAAUAGAAAAUAAAUCUUAAUAAAUUUCAAUUAAAAAUAGUGUAAGAUUAAAUUAUUUUAUUGUAAAAAACGCGUGGGGUGCUUUUCAGGAUAUUAUCAAAAAGUCGAGACCACUUCGCACACACUUCCCCGGUUCUACACUUUUGGAAAUUGAAAGACUCUAAUAUGGUCAAUCUAUCGUUUUAGUCGUUUCAUUGUGACGAAGAGAAACACAAAAGUAUCAAAAUGAAUACAAUGGUAACAAACAAUCUUUUGAAGGGAAGAUUAUCUUUUGUUAAAAACAGGAAAGCGAAAUUUUGGUUUUAAAAAUAAAGGUUUAUUUGAAGCGAGAUCAA